rnacentral:rRNA from 1 species
UACGUAGGGUGCAAGCGUUAAUCGGAAUUACUGGGCGUAAAGCGCGCGUAGGCGGCUUUGCAAGCCGGAUGUGAAAUCCCCGGGCUUAACCUGGGAACUGCAUUCGGGACUGCAUUGCUAGAGUAUGGGAGAGGGAAGUGGAAUUUCAGGUGUAGCGGUGAAAUGCGUAGAUAUCUGAAGGAACAUCAGUGGCGAAAGCGACUUCCUGGACCAAUACUGACGCUCAUGUGCGAAAGCGUGGGGAGCAAACAGG